rnacentral:tRNA from 1 species
CCCCAUUUGGUGAAAGGGUAAACACGACUAGCUCAAAAUUAGUAUGCUACUGGUUCAAAUCCAGUAAUGGGGA